rnacentral:rRNA from 1 species
UACGGAGGUGGCAAGCGUUGUCCGGAAUUAUUGGGCGUAAAGCGCGCGCAGGCGGUUUUUUAAGUCUGAUGUGAAAGCCCACGGCUCAACCGUGGAGGGUCAUUGGAAACUGGGGAACUUGAGUGCAGAAGAGAAGAGCGGAAUUCCACGUGUAGCGGUGAAAUGCGUAGAGAUGUGGAGGAACACCAGUGGCGAAGGCGGCUCUUUGGUCUGUAACUGACGCUGAGGCGCGAAAGCGUGGGGAGCAAACAGG